AGUCACUGACAUUAGACUACCCUGUAGUCCCAGCCGUAAACUAUGCUCGCUAGGUGUCAGGCAUGGCGCGACCGUGUCUGGUGCCGCAGGGAAGCCGUGAAGCGAGCCACCUGGGAAGUACGGCCGCAAGGCUGAAACUUAAAGGAAUUGGCGGGGAGCACCACAACAGGUGGAGCCUGCGGUUUAAUUGGACUCAACGCCGGGAAGCUCACCGGAUAAGACAGCGGAAUGAUUGCCGGGCUGAAGACUCUGCAUGACUAGCUG
rnacentral:rRNA from 1 species